rnacentral:rRNA from 1 species
UACGUAGGGUGCAAGCGUUGUCCGGAAUUAUUGGGCGUAAAGAGCUCGUAGGCGGUUUGUCGCGUCUGGUGUGAAAAUCCAGGGCUUAACCCUGGACCUGCAUCGGGUACGGGCAGACUAGAGUGCGGUAGGGGAGAUCGAAUUCCUGGUGUAGCGGUGAAAUGCGCAGAUAUCAGGAGGAACACCGGUGGCGAAGGCAGGUCUCUGGGCAUUAACUGACGCUGAGGAGCGAAAGCAUGGGGAGCGAACAGGAUUAGAUACCCGUGG